UAUCUAACCGUGCCUGACUGCGACC
rnacentral:piRNA from 1 species